rnacentral:rRNA from 1 species
CCUACGGGGGGCAGCAGUAGGGAAUAUUGCUCAAUGGGGGAAACCCUGAAGCAGCAACGCCGCGUGGAGGAUGAAGGUUUUCGGAUUGGUAACUCCCUUUUUUAGAGAAGAUAAUGACGGUAUCUAACGAAUAAGCACCGGCGAACUCCGUGCCGGCAGCCGCGGUAAUACGGAGGGUGCAAGCGUUACUCGGAAUCACUGGGCGUAAAGGGCGCGUAGGCGGGCUAGCAAGUCAGAUGUGAAAUCCUAUGGCGUAACCAUAGAACUGCAUUUGAAACUGUUAUUCUAGAGUAUGGGAGAGGUAGGUGGAAUUCUUGGUGGAGCGGUAAAAUCCGUAGAGAUCGAGAAGAAUACUCAUUGCGAAGGCGACCUGCUAGAACCUAACUGACGCUGAUGCGCGAAAGCGUGGGGAGCGAACAGGAUUAGAUACCCCUGUAGUC